rnacentral:rRNA from 1 species
UAAUGUGAAUUGCANAAUUCAGUGAAUCAUCGAAUCUUUGAACGCACCUUGCGCCCCUUGGUAUUCCGAGGGGCAUGCCUGUUUGAGUGUCA